rnacentral:rRNA from 1 species
GGGUCAGUAGGUUGGUCGUGCCACCGGUACGUACUGGUCUCACUGAUUCCUCCUUCCUGAAGAACCGUAAUGCCAUUAAUGUGGUGCAGCGGGGAAACAGGACUGUUACUUUGAAAAAAUUAGAGUGUUUAAAGCAAGCUAACGCUUGAAUACAUUAGCAUGGAAUAAUGAAAUAGGACGAUCGAUCCUAUUUUGUUGGUUUCUAGGAUUGACGUA